rnacentral:lncRNA from 1 species
AAAUAUUUAUUGAAAACAAAGAAUAAUAAAAAUAAAGUGCUUGACAAUCAAAUAGCACUAACAAUAGAAUUUUAUUUAAAUCUAUUUAAACUUAAUUUAUCUACUAAACUAACUUAAAUCUAGGUACAUUUUGUGUAUGUGUGUUGUGAGUUCCAUGAGCCUUUCUCAUACCUGAGAGAGUUUAAUGAUGAUACAACAUAUUUAUAUUCCAUUUGACAAUUAUCUGAACACUAACUCUAACAAAAAUUCAAAUGUUCACAUUGUUCAGUUUCACACUUCAUCAUCGUUCACUACCUGCCUGUCCCAUUAUAUCUUUCGUCAUCUGUCGUUUCCAUCAGUCACCCUGAUGGGAUAUAUUGCUUUCCUGUCUUUUAACUUUACAUUUUUGUUGUUUUGUUUCACUGAUAAUAAAUUUAACUCUUCUCUUCAGACUCUUGACUGACUAAAAUUCCUCAUAUUUAUCCCAUAUCUAUGACGAGGAAGUUUCCCACGGUAUUUUGAGAUGGAACUAAUGGGUAAUUUCAUUAAGAAUGAUGAUUGAUA